rnacentral:rRNA from 1 species
AUGAGCAACAAGAGCGGCGGCGUGCUGUUGCAAUGCGCGGAGGCGACGGCAGCGGAUUGGGGCUGCUGCUUCCUCUCCCUCUCCGUGCCACCACCUCCACCUGCUGCGCCCUGUGAUGCAGAUAGCAAUGGUGGAUUCAACCUGGCAUGGACCCUCCACCAGUCCUUCCACCCACCCGCUGGUCUCUUUGCCAGCGUCGGCCACAAGGUGGGGGUGGGCCUCUCGGCCUCCUCCUCCGGCGCCACAUCGUCGGGAAAACCCCCAGACCCGUACAGAAAAUACGUUUCACCGCAGGCCGUCGAAACAUCCCUGCCGGUGCCGGGUGACGGAGUGGGGUUCUGGGGGAAGGGGAAGAAGAAAGCGGUGAAGAUCAAGAUAAAGGUUGGGAAUUCCCACCUCAAGAGGCUCAUCAGCGGGGGGAUUGCAGGUGCAGUGUCAAGGACAGUUGUCGCGCCUUUGGAGACGAUUAGGACACAUCUGAUGGUCGGCAGUAAUGGGAAUUCAUCCACGGAGGUGUUUGAGUCCAUCAUGAAGAAUGAAGGAUGGACUGGAUUGUUCCGCGGCAACUUUGUUAAUGUCAUUCGAGUCGCCCCGAGCAAAGCAAUCGAGCCUUUUGCCUUUGAUACAGCUAAGAAGUUCCUAACCCCCAAAUCUGGGGAAGAACAGAAGAUCCAAAUCCCUCCUUCACUAGUGGCAGGGGCUUUUGCUGGUGUCAGCUCAACUCUGUGUACAUACCCUCUGGAACUAAUUAAGACUCGAUUAACCAUACAGAGAGGUGUGUAUGAUAACUUCCUCCAUGCAUUUGUGAAAAUUGUCCGUGAAGAAGGCCCUGCUGAGCUGUAUAGAGGCUUAACCCCAAGUCUAAUCGGAGUAGUGCCAUAUGCAGCAACCAACUACUUUGCGUAUGACACCCUUAAGAAGGUGUACAAGAAAAUGUUCAAGACAAAUGAAAUCGGCAACGUUCCAACCCUCAUUGGGUCUGCUGCAGGAGCCAUCUCAAGCACUGCCACAUUUCCUCUUGAGGUUGCCCGCAAGCACAUGCAAGUCGGAGCUGUUGGUGGCCGGAAGGUAUACAAGAACAUGCUUCACGCUCUCCUGACCAUUCUCGAGGACGAAGGGGUUGGGGGCCUCUACAGAGGACUGGGGCCUAGUUGCAUGAAGCUGGUGCCUGCUGCUGGGAUUUCGUUUAUGUGCUACGAAGCUUGCAAGAAGAUACUGAUUGAGGAAGAGGACGAAUGA